rnacentral:snoRNA from 1 species
AAACCAUGCAUCGGGCAUUUUUUCAGUAGCUCCUUGAACUGCUCCCAUGCUUCGUAUAAUUUUUCAACCGCUCAUAUGCUUCAUAUAAUGUUUCAUCUUCUGAUUGUCUAAACAAUGUAAUGCCAUUCCUCAAUUU